rnacentral:rRNA from 1 species
UACGUAGGGAGCGAGCGUUGUCCGGAUUCAUUGGGCGUAAAGAGCUCGUAGGCGGCUUGAUAAGUCGGAUGUGAAACCUCCAGGCUCAACCUGGAGUCGCCAUCCGAUACUGUCAUGGCUAGAGUCCGGUAGGGGCCCACGGAACCCCUGGUGUAGCGGUGAAAUGCGCAGAUAUCAGGAAGAACACCGAUGGCGAAGGCAGUGGGCUGGGCCGGUACUGACGCUGAGGAGCGAAAGCGUGGGGAGCGAACAGG